CUACGUGCCAGCAGCCGCGGUAAUACGUAGGUCCCGAGCGUUGUCCGGAUUUAUUGGGCGUAAAGCGAGCGCAGGCGGUUAGAUAAGUCUGAAGUUAAAGGCUGUGGCUUAACCAUAGUACGCUUUGGAAACUGUUUAACUUGAGUGCAAGAGGGGAGAGUGGAAUUCCAUGUGUAGCGGUGAAAUGCGUAGAUAUAUGGAGGAACACCGGUGGCGAAAGCGGCUCUCUGGCUUGUAACUGACGCUGAGGCUCGAAAGCGUGGGGAGCAAACAGGAUUAGAUACCCUGGUAGUCCACGCCGUAAACGAUGAGUGCUAGGUGUUAGACCCUUUCCGGGGUUUAGUGCCGCAGCUAACGCAUUAAGCACUCCGCCUGGGGAGUACGACCGCAAGGUUGAAACUCAAAGGAAUUGACGGGGGCCCGCACAAGCGGUGGAGCAUGUGGCUUAAUUCGAAGCAACGCGAAGAACCUUACCAGGUCUUGACAUCCCUCUGACCGCUCUAGAGAUAGAGUUUUC
rnacentral:rRNA from 1 species